ACGAACGCUGGCGGCGUGCCUAAUACAUGCAAGUAGAACGCUGAAGGAGGAGCUUGCUUCUCCGGAUGAGUUGCGAACGGGUGAGUAACGCGUAGGUAACCUGCCUGGUAGCGGGGGAUAACUAUUGGAAACGAUAGCUAAUACCGCAUAAGAGUAGAUGUCGCAUGACAUUUGCUUAAAAGGUGCAACUGCACCACUACCAGAUGGACCUGCGUUGUAUUAGCUAGUUGGUGAGGUAACGGCUCACCAAGGCAACGAUACAUAGCCGACCUGAGAGGGUGAUCGGCCACACUGGGACUGAGACACGGCCCAGACUCCUACGGGAGGCAGCAGUAGGGAAUCUUCGGCAAUGGACGGAAGUCUGACCGAGCAACGCCGCGUGAGUGAAGAAGGUUUUCGGAUCGUAAAGCUCUGUUGUAAGAGAAGAACGAGUGUGAGAGUGGAAAGUUCGCACUGUGACGGUAUCUUACCAGAAAGGGACGGCUAACUACGUG
rnacentral:rRNA from 1 species